rnacentral:lncRNA from 1 species
CACAAAUAUUUCCUUUACUAAAUGCUCUCACCUCUUGUAUACACCUGCGGCAACCCCACAAGUAAUCACUAGCUUGAAUUUUAUGUUUAUGUUUCUUUGUGUAGCAGGCAUUGUCAGUGUCCCCUCUGUAUCUUCUGGGCAUUCAUCAUUCCUAUAAAUGCAGAAGGAUUUUGCUGUAAGCACCUCUAACUCUGCCUAGGAGAUUUCACUGGAGUGUACAAGUUUUUCGAGACAGGGUCUUGCUUGUUACCCCGGCUGGAGUACAAGAGUGGGAUCACAGUUCAUGCAACCUUGAACUCCUGGGCUUCAGCGAUCCUCCUGCCUCAGCCUCCUGAAUAGCUGGGACUACAGGCACACACCACCACCCACAGCUAAUUCUGAAUUAUUUUGUAGAGAUGAGGUCAUAGUAUGUUGCUCAGGCUGGUCUCAAACUCCUGGUCUCAAGCGACUGUUCUGCCUUGGCCUCCCCAAAGUGCUAGGAUUACAGGCAUGAGCCACCAUGCUGUGCCUAUAACUUUUAUCUAAACAUUUUUUAGCUUUAUUCUACGUAAUACAUUUACUUCAUCUUUUGAGAUCAGGUAGGUAGAACUUCCCAGAUUGGUGCAGACAAGACCGUCUUUUUUUUUUUUUUUUUUUUUUUUUCCGGUACAGAUUCUCUCAAGAAGUUAGGGAUUGCACAGGCUGUCAGAAGCUGAGAUUCCUUAAUCUACUUUUACAAAAAAAUGAAGAAAAAUAUCACAGAGUGAAAAAGUUAUGAUAUCAAUUUGACCAGAAGUUCCAAUCACUUACAUUAUUUAUCACGUAGCCACUAGACCCUCUUCCAAUAAUCUAUGAUAUAUGGUGGUAGAUGAUGGUAGGAGAGAAUAUUCUUUUAUAGAUUUGCAGUAACUUUCUUGCCUUAGGCAGGGUGGAGUUGAGACUUGUCUAUUUUCUCUCAUUUUGGAUAAGGUGUAGCUCAAUCACCCACUUAACAUCUACCUCCUAAAAUGCCUUGCUCGUAGACCUGAGCUACUGAUCAAUACUUAUUAAUUUUAAAAUUCUUCUAUAUUUUGAGAGUUCAAGGACAGUUUUCUCUGGCUCUGUACAGCCUAGAAAGAGUAGUCUAGCAAGAGAGAGUUGAGAGUGCACAGUAUGGUAGAAAAUAACAAAUAGUUCAGUGGGUGUAUAAUGUAUCAUUUAAAAGGCUCAUUGUGAGAGAAGAGGCCAAGGAUGUUUAAAGGAAGAGUCAGCAAAAGGGGGAAGGCAUAUUGUUAGAUGCCUUACAUGCUGUUGCAGGGUUUGGACUUGAUUCUGAAAGCUGGGAGGCAUUAAGUGAGAUUGAGCAGGGGAAUAUAUUAAUGAGUUGUUGUUUUUGUUUGUUUUAUUUUAAGAAAAUUCACUCUGGAGGCUCUAUAAAGAACAGCUCACAGAAAUAAGUAGAUACCAUCUGACCAGCUAGAAAGCUCCUUUAGCAACUUGUUUCAGAAAGCUGAAUGCAUAACAAAUGUAGCAAUUGUGGAUUGAUAUAAAUGGGGAGGAUUGGAAAGGAGUUGAAAGAACUGAAUAGGUAACAUUUAUUGUUUAAUUAGAUAUGGUAAUAAAAACAUCAUAUCAAACGUGACUACAGAUUCUGGUUUGUGCAAUUGAGUGGAACUUGGAAGUCUAUUUAUUUAUUUUAUAUGCUGAUCAAGUUUUCAAAGAUGAUUUAAGGUGGCUAGAAAGAGUAAAUUAAAAAGAUUAAAUAUCAACAGCAGAAAUAUUAGAAAAAAAUUAAAGACAAAACAAAAGAAAUGAAAUGCAACCAAAAGAAAAGCAUGAGACAAAUGGAAAACUAUGGUAUUAUAACAAAAUAAGAUAGAACUAAAAGAAGUGGCAUGAGUAUGCAAAUAUAUUUAAUGAAAGCUUAUAAACUUGCUAAAGUUGGGUCACAAAUCAAUUCAGCACAAAGAUGUUUAGUAGGUUAUUCAAUAAGGGAAACAUAAUCGUAACAAGAUCCAUGUAGCUGCGUGGAAGGUAACAACAAAUCCACUGUUGCAGCAACUAGUAAUCAUUUCUGUUUCUGCAACAAGAAAAAUUCACAUCCAGGAAGUAGUGUCAUUUCCUUAAAGAGUAAAGAGAAGGAAUAGAUUAUAGACAGAAAUAAGGCUGAAUUCAGUCUAGCCAAUGUUAAGUCACUGCAUCUCUAACUAAACAGAUUUCUUGCUCUUUUCAAAUACUCACUGUCCAACACUUUGUGUUCUUCUUGAUUCCUAUCUGUGAGCCAGGAAACAAACAUUUUUUGAGAAUCCAUAAUGUACUUUUGACAGAGAAAUUUGCCUUGCAUCAAUGGCUUUCCUCUUUUUCUCUGCCUUAAUAACUCUAUCUCUUGUGAUUCCACCUCAUUCAUUUCCUAAUUCAUCAGUGCAGUUAUAUUGUAUUUUUAUACUAUGUAUUAACAACUGUGUGGCCUGGACUUCAAAGGCCUUAAAUACUUUAAAUCUUCUUUAUUCUCCACUUGCUGUCUCCAACAUCAAAAUUCUGUAAUCCAGGUUUUAUAAAAUAUGCAAUGUGUCUCACUGAUAGUGCUUGAAAAGAUUUUGGGAGAUACAUGAAUAUGGUCUUAAAUAACACAGAAUCACAUACUGAGAAAACAUUCCUCUUUCAAUUCUGUUUCAUAUUUAAUGAUGAAUUCAAGAAGCAGUUCUCCAUUUUGUAUAUUUGUAAGAGUUUUUAAUACUAAUCUUCUUUAAUCCAAAAUCUCUGCUUUAGAGUCUUUUAGCAGUCAGUGGUGGAUAAAUAGAAUUUAAAAAUUUGUUUUGUUUUUAUUGUAUUAUCUUUGAUUUUCACAAAGUGAUAGUGUUUUCUUUUUCCAGGGCAGUGAAAUAGAACUUCCUUUUAAAAUAAAUUUAUUUCAGUUAAGAAUUGAAUUGAGUGCAUUAAUAAUAUUCAGAUAUUAAUAUUAAAUGACGUGCAACUAUGGGGGAAAAAACUUUGGAAAAUAUUACACUUAUUUCAUGGAUAUAACACAAAUCAGAAACCUAAGAUGCAGAUGACUAACUUUGGGAAACAACUAUGAUGUCCACCAACCCAACCUACUUGCCUUUCUGCAAAUAAGACUGUAUUAGCAACUGUUAUGCCUUUGCUGUGCUGGCACCUUAGCUUCAAAAUCUCUCCUAGCCUUUUCCACUUGACGAACUCCUACUCACCUGUCAAAAAUUAGCUUCUGCAUCUCCUCCAAUAUGAAGCUUUUGCUUAUUUUACCUAUAAACUGUUACUUACUAAACUGUAGUGCAAGUAUUUGUUCAAGUAUCAAACUCCCCAUUUUACUGCAAACUUUUUGUAGCAAUGUGUUAUUUGUCUUUGUAUCUCUAAUUUCUACCACAAUGACAGACACAAAAC